rnacentral:rRNA from 1 species
UACGUAGGGUCCGAGCGUUAAUCGGAAUUACUGGGCGUAAAGCGUGCGCAGGCGGUUUUGUAAGCCAGAUGUGAAAUCCCCGGGCUUAACCUGGGAACUGCAUUUGGGACUGCAAGGCUCGAGUACGGCAGAGGGAGGUGGAAUUCCACGUGUAGCAGUGAAGUGCGUAGAGAUGUGGAGGAACACCGAUGGCGAAGGCAGCCUCCUGGGCCAGUACUGACGCUCAUGCGCGAAAGCGUGGGGAGCAAACAGG